CUGGAGCCUAGCAGCUGCUGAGGCUUGUCGAGCUGCAGCGACUCCGUUCUCGUGGCACCACAUGCUGCCGCCUCGGCGCUGACAACAGCCUGAGGAGCGGCACACCGCUGCCACUGACGCAGACCCAGGCAGUUGCAACACAAAAGACAACAAUCAAGUCAGAUGAAAAGACAAAAGAAUCAUAUUGGGCUGCUGGAGGAUCAGUGGAGAUCCAUGGCACUGUGCAGCUUUAAAAUAUUAUGAACUCUAAAUAAUGACAACUGAAAAAGACAGGAC